rnacentral:rRNA from 1 species
UACGUAGGGUGCGAGCGUUAAUCGGAAUUACUGGGCGUAAAGCGUGCGCAGGCGGUCUGUUAAGACAGAUGUGAAAUCCCCGGGCUUAACCUGGGAACUGCAUUUGUGACUGGCAGGCUAGAGUAUGGCAGAGGGGGGUAGAAUUCCACGUGUAGCAGUGAAAUGCGUAGAUAUCUGGAGGAAUACCGGUGGCGAAGGCGGCAUUCUGGACCAUUACUGACACUGAAUCGCGAAAGCUAGGGGAGCAAACGGG